rnacentral:tRNA from 1 species
GCAGACAUAGUUUAGUAAAACAUUAGAUUGUGAUUCUGAAGACAGACGUUAAACCCGUCUUGUCCGCC